rnacentral:tRNA from 2 species
GGCGGGUUGGCGGAGAGGUUGCGCAGCGGAUUGCAAAUCCGUGAAGACCGGUUCGAUUCCGGUACCCGCCUCCA